AUAGACAAGUCCGGACCUCGGGCGGGGGCAGGAGACGGAGCUGAGCGGCGGGGGGCAGUGUCGCCUCGGUCUAGGGACGGCGGCGGAGUCGGUGGUCCCUGCGCGAUGGCCACCUCGGUGUUGUGCUGCCUGCGGUGCUGCAGAGACGGGGGGACUGGCCACAUCCCUCUGAAGGAGAUGCCGGCCGUGCAGCUGGACACGCAGCACAUGGGAACAGAUGUUGUUAUUGUAAAGAAUGGAAGAAGAAUAUGUGGAACAGGAGGUUGUUUAGCCAGCGCACCUUUACAUCAAAACAAAAGCUAUUUUGAAUUCAAAAUCCAGUCCACAGGAAUCUGGGGUAUUGGUGUUGCAACUCAGAAGGUUAACUUGAAUCAGAUUCCUCUUGGCCGAGAUAUGCACAGUCUGGUGAUGAGAAAUGAUGGAGCCCUUUACCACAACAAUGAAGAGAAAAAUAGGCUGCCAGCAAACAGUCUUCCGCAGGAAGGAGAUGUGGUGGGUAUUACUUAUGACCAUGUCGAAUUAAAUGUAUACUUGAAUGGAAAAAACAUGCAUUGUCCAGCAUCAGGUAUACGAGGGACAGUGUAUCCAGUUGUUUAUGGUGUGGUUGUACGUGCCUGUAGUCCCAGCUACUUGAGAGGCUGAGCUGAGAGGAUCUCUUGAGCCGGGGAGGUCAAGUCUCCUGUGAGCAGUGAUCAUCGUGCCGCUGCACUCCAGCCUUGGCACCAGACCUGUAGAAAGAAAAAGACUGCAUAACACUGAAGAAGUGUGGUUACAAAGUUACGACUUCCUGGCUGGGCGCAGUAGCUCACGCCUGUAAUCCCAGCACUUUGGGAGGCUGAGGCAGGCGGAUCACGAGGUCAGGAGAUUGAGACCAUCCUGGCUAACAGGGUGAAACCCCGUCUCUACUAAAAAUACAAAAAAUUAGCUGGGUGUGGUGGCGGGUGCCUGUGGUCCCAGCUACUUGGGAGGCUGAGGCAAGAGAAUAGCGUGAACCGGGGAGGCGGAGCUUGCAGUGAGCCGAGAUCAUGCCACUGCACUCCAGCCUGGGUGACAGAGCGAGACUCUGUCUCAAAAAAGAAAACAACAAAACAAAACAAAAAAAAACAAAGUUAUGACUUCUAGCCUAAUCUGAGCUCUCAAUAAUUUUCAGCAAUUCUUUGUGCAUGUCUAUGCAUUCUGUGCUUCUUGCAUUCUCUAUUCAUCCUCUGAAAAUGCCUUGCCUUCUACCUUACAAAAAAAACAGGCAAUCACAAGUGAACUCCAGCUUCCCUCUCUUCAGGUCCAAUCCUGCCUUCUUUCCAUCUCAUCCCAGAAGUGGUACUCUGCAUGUUGCAAACACUCUAUCUGUAGUCUGGAUUCCAAACUCCCCAAAUCUGGAACGUCACUUUGUCAGUUAUUUCAUCGAUAUCUCAUGUCAUGGGCCUCCCUCUUCAGUGCUUAUAAACAUUCUAAGCCCCAUCCCAAACGCCCUUCUUUGGGCAUGCAUCCCUCACUAGUCCUGUGUUUCCCCUUCCCUGGAUGGCCACAUUUCUUCUAGAAUAACCUAUAUCUGCCAUCUUUAUUGUUUUUCUUUCUUUUUUUUUUUUAACAUUUAGGUUCGGGGGUACAUGUGAAGGUUUGUUACACAGGUAAACUGGUGUCACGGUGGGGGGUUUGUUGUAUAGAUUACUUGACUAGCUCAAGGGUAGAGCAUUUGACACCUUUAUUGUUAUUGUUCGUUUGUUCUGCAACCCAAUUCAGCUGCCAUUACACCACUAAUUGAAACCACCCUUGUUAAAAUCACUGGUGACUUCAUGAAUGUCAAAUCCAGUAUUUACAUUUUUUUCUGCAUUUAUGCUGAAAUAUAAAGUAUAUAGUAAUGUGCAUUAAACUUAUAUGUGCAAUUUAACAAAUAGCUAUCAAGUGAACACUCACAUUAUUACCACUUAGAUCAAGAAAUAGAACAUUUUCUUGGCCCAGAUGCAGCCCGCACCACAGCUGCAUUCCUCACCCAGGGGGAGUAAUCACUAUUGGGUGGCAGUGCUGAUUAUUUACUUGCUUUGCUUUACGGUCAUGUUUUGUUUUGUCAUCACCAGGGUCAAGGUAAUGAACAUAUUCACCACCCCAAAGGUUUCCUUCUGCCUCUUAUAUCCUACUCACCACUCCCUACCCCAGCCCCAACCAAACAACCACUGAUCUGCUUUCUGUCACUACAGAUUAGCCCAUAUUUUCUAGAGUAUUAUAUUAACAAAAUCAUAUGGUCUUUUCUUUUGGUCUGGCUUCUUUCACUCAGCACAAUUAUUUGAAGAUUCAUUUAUGCUGUAGCAUAUAUCAAUAAUUCAUCAGUUUUUAUUGCUGAGAAGUGUAGCAUUGUGUGGAUAUAUCACAAUUUCUUUAUCCUUCACCAGUUGAUGGACAUUAGGGUUGUUUCCAGUGUGGGACUAUUACAAAUAAAGCUAUUGUGAACGUUUGAAAAUAUGUCUUUGGAUAUACACAUUCAUUUCUCUUGAGUAAAUACCGGUAAAAACAUUUAGAAGCUGAGUAAGGCCUGCAGUCUAGUUCACAGUAGUGUACCAAUGUCAGUUUCCUGGUUUGGAUGUUGAGCUGUAGUCAUGUAAGAUGUUACCACUGGGGCAAAGUGUACAAAGGGUGCACUGGACUCUUAACAUUUUUGCAACUUCCUGUGAAUCUAUACUUUUUCAAAGUUAAACAUUUUUUUAAAAAGUAAUAUGUCUUAAUUAUAUAAAAUUGAGAAAAUGCAGAUAAGCAAAUAAGAAAAAAAUUACCCAUAUUCACAUCCUCUUGAGAGAAUUACUAAUAAUAUUUUUAUAUAUAUCCUUCCAAUGUUUUUGACAGAUAGAUUUUGAUUUUUGUUGUGGCUGUUUUUACCCAUAGGAUUAUGUUUUGUAACAGGGACAGCAGAUAUAUUUAUUCUUCUUACCUAUUAAUAUUGUAGUAUUAUGGAGACAGUUUAUUUUAUUUUAUAAUUAUGUAUUCAUUGAAAUUAAAGUAUUUGCUUCUAAUUUAUUUUCUUUCUUUUUGUAUCCUUUAGUUGAUGACAGUGCAAUUUUGGAUUGCCAGUUCAGUGAGUUUUAUCAUACGCCUCCACCUGGUUUUGAAAAAAUAUUAUUUGAACAGCAAAUCUUCUGAAUGUAUUUGUUUUUAAAACUUGUAUUUCUGCACUGUUAAAAAAUGUUCAUCAUUUAAUAAAACUUUACCUGGCCUAUAGAUGAAAA